CGGGAUAUUGAAUCGGAUGGAUGUGUAGUUCACCUGAUUAGCUGUUCGUGCAUUGGGAUAAGGGUAGGAACUCUACAUGGGCUCCGAGACAUCAUGACCAACCGCUGAAGGUCACCUAUACCAGACUAAACUGUCCGUGCAUUGGGAUAAGGGCAGUACCUCUACAUGGGUUCUGAUACACCCUGGUCAACCGCUGAAGGUCACCUAUACCAGACUAAAGUCAGUUUCCAGUUCGUGUCAGAUGGGACACUAACACGAUCCGGUUCCACUGAUGAAGAAGUAUUGCGCAACGUUUACGGAUGCCAUGAAGAUUUACUCAAUUUAGACGUUCCGUGGAGGCUGAAAAUUGUUGCAUAUUAAAGAAAUUGGAGAAACUGAAUAAUAUUUUUUAUAUUUAUGUGUAAAAAAAGUAAAAUACGUAC